UAACCUGCGGAAGAGAGUAUAGUGCAACUCUAGACGAAAAGAAUGAGGCAAUGGAGAGGCAUUGGGGAGUCUUUAAUGGUGGUUGCCCCCUCUCUUUUCGCCGUUGAUUUCCUUUUCCAAACAAUUAAACCACCAUUGUUGACAAAAUGCAUAUAUUGCCCCCUUAAACUUGGGAAAAUUGGUCACAUUUACCCCUUGUACUCUCACUUUCCUACCUCUUCACUAUACCUAGCUUAUUUAGUCACCUUUUUUAAGCUAAUCCAAACAGGCUCUUAUUAUAAUCACCGGAUGUAUGAGGCUAUGAUGAUGAUAAAUAUUGUUCGUCUAGAUUUGGGUCGGGUAAUCGGAGCAGCCCGUAUCUUGGCGGGGCGACCCGGUAAGGGGUCUGCAGCCAUGGCGGUUGCUUUGUCUCCUUUUUGCCCCUCAUUUUAUUACACAUCUGAGCCUCAAAUUGUAAGUAAUUACUGGCUAAUUGGCAAGUCCAUUUGUUAAAUCAGCUCACAAAUGGAGAGAGUAUGGGAUUUCCUUGGGAAAAUUAUAAAUUUACGCUCUAUGCCUAUUGGGAGAAAAUAUUUACGCUACGUAGCCCGUAUUGUAUAUUGGGCUAUGUUACGUAAUAUUUUAUGUUGGCCUGUAUAUUUUUGAAAAUUGUCCUUAGCCAAAAUUACGCUCUAUGUCUGCUGGAAAGAAUAUUUACCCGAUUUAGCCGAGUUUUUUCUAAAUUACCCGGUUUAGCCCUGAUUUUCCUUAAAAACACAUCUUAUACUUUAUGCUAUUUUAUACAAGGUGACACAUUGUUUACCGUAAGGGUAUAGUGUUUGUGUAAUGUUGUAUACCGUGUGUAUAAGCACUGGUACGAGAAAAGAAGAAGUUGAUUAAAUUGAAAAUAUGGUUAUGAGCCUGUUUGGAUGGGCUUAUGCCUAUAAGCUGUGCAACUUAUAAGCUAAAAAAAAAUAAGUUGGGGUAGCCCAACUUAUUUUUUUUAGCUUAUAAGCUGCUUUAGAUAAGCUAAGUCAAAUGGGCUCAAUUAUUUUUUUGAGCUUAUUUUAAGCACAAAAUGACUUUAAGCUGGCUAGCCAAACACUCAAAAAAGCUGAAAACAGCUUAUAAGCAACUUAUAAGUCAAUCCAAACGGGCUCUAUGUAGGUGUAAUAUAUUAUGUUGGAUUGUAUAUAUUUUGUUUUUUGUUGUAAAAAUCCCUUUCUUUGAAGGGUGGUUGCCCUUCUCUAUGCUUUGCCUAUGAUUCUCCAUUUUUAAACUAACCAACCGCCCUUUAAAAAGAAAGAGAAAAAGAGAUAUAUAGUACUCCCUCCGGUUCAUAAUAAGUGUCUACUUACUCUGUUGUGGCUUUGAAAAUUAUUAAAGAGGCAGUGAUGAUGAUCUUUUUUCCUAUUUCUGGGCUAUCUAAUUCGGGCAUGGAGAUGACCCGACCUGUAUCUUGGUGUGGCAACGCGGUAUGGCUUGUGAUUGAGAAGCUUCUCUCACACAUGCAACCGGUGUUUUGCAGCCAUGGCGUGGUUGGCUUCUCUUUUGCCUUAUCAUAUCAUACAUCUGAGCCUCAUAUAUAUUGCCCCUUAAACUUUGGAAAAUGGUCAGAUUAGCCCUAGUACUCUCACUUCCUUCCUCUUCACCAUGGCUAGCAUUUUUAAUCACUGGAUAUGAGGCUGUGAUGAUGAAAAAUGGUGUUCGUCUAGAGUUAGGUCGGGCAUUGGAGCUGCCCGUAUCUUUCGUCUAGUGUUUAGGGAGCGCAUAUGCAUUAAGCCUUAAUUUAUUUAUUGUAAAACCAAGAUACCACUAUUGUAGUAUAAAAUAACCUGCGAAAGACAGUGUUGUGAAAGUCUAGACGGAAAGAAAUGAGGCAAUGGAGAGGCAUUGGGGAGUCUUUAAUGGUGGUUGCCCUCUCUCUUUUCGCCUACGAUUUCCUUUUCCAAACAAUAAACCGCCAUUGUUGAGAAUGUUCAAAUGCAUAUAUAUUGCUCCCUUAAACUUGGGAAAAUGGUCUGAAUAGCCUUUGUACUCUCACUUUCCUUGCCUGUAUCUUGGCGGGGCGACCUGGAUAAGGUCUGCAACCAUGGUGGUAGCUUUGUCUCCCUUUGCCCUCCCAUCUGAGCCUCAAAUCGUAAGUAAUUACUGGCGAGAAUGCUUAAUACCAAAAAAAAGUACAAUUUUAUUAGCCCAAAUUGUAAGUGAUUUUUCAUACACAAAAGGUUUUAUCAAAAAAUUCCAAAACAAAUUGAAGGCUACUAUUUAUGCUUAAUAUAAAAUAAUUUCAAAAUUCCUUUAAUGAAGUUACUGACUCUCCUGUUUUGAGAUUUCUGUACAGGUAGUUAUUUAAGUAAUUAUAUUUACAAAAUAUACAGUACCUUUUUUCCAGUCACUUGGAUGGUUACACAAUACUUUAAACACUUUUAUUUUCUUAAUAAUAAAUAAAGGUGAAUAGAUUUGUUUGAAGGAAUUUUCUCGGUUAAGUUAAAAUUCCCAGUGAAUAAUUGGACUAAGAUGGUGAAAUAAUGGACAUUUAGCGGUGAAUUGUAAUUAAUUACUGGUGAAUUGGCAAUUCCCUUUGUUAGAUUAGCCCGGAAAUAGCGUGAAUGAGGCAACAGAGAGAGUAUGGGAUUUCUUUUAAGGGUGCUUGCCCUUCUCUAUGUUUUGCUUAUGAUUCUUCAUUUUUUUUAACAAAUCAACAGCCCUUAAAAAAAAAGAGACAGAGAUAUAUAUAUAUAUAUAGCACAUCAAUUUCUGGGUUUCAUUGCAUUUUUGCACCCUUAUGCUAAGUUUGGAUGGUCGUUACCCAUGGUUUCAUAAUGUACAAUAUUGUAUUGUAUAGUAUCGUUUUGUAUUGUAUUUUAUUGUAUUAAUGGAUACAAUGUUUGGAUAGACUGUGUCGUCUGUUGUGGUUUAAUAACAUUUUUUAUGUUCAAAACACAAUACACACACAACUAUACUACAACAACUACUUGACCUUCAGUGAUCUUCAACCCUGUGUUUCCAUUGUGGCUUUGAAAAUUAUUAAGGAGGCAGUGAUGAUGAUUUUUUCCCCUAUUUCUGGGCUAACUAAUUCGGGCAUGGAGAUUACCCGAUCCGUAUCUUGGCAUGGCAACCCGGUAUGGUGUAUGAUUGCUACGCAUAUCUCUCACACAUGCAUUAGGUGUUUUGCAGCCAUGGCGUGGCUGGCUUCUCUUUUGCCUUAUCAUAACACAUAUCUGAGCCUCAAUUUGCUAAAGAAAAUAGGGAAAAGGGUCAAAUUUAUCACAGAUCUGAGCCUCAAAUUCCAUGGCGUGGUUGGCUUCUCUUUUACAACAAUAACAACAACAUAUCCAGUGUGGUUGGCUUCUCUUUUGCCUUAGCAUAACACAAAUCUGAGCCUCAAUUUGCUAAAGAAAAUAGGGAAAAGGGUCAAAUUUAUCCUUCUAGUAUGCAAAAAGGGGUAGUAUCUUUUCCAUGAUUCAUGUGGGAGAUAUUGAAUCCACGCCCUUAUCGUUAUUAUUACCCUUUUUUUAUUUUUAUUUUUUUAUUUAAGUUUUGCUUUUAUGCUCUAGCUACCAUGUAUGUAUUUUCCUAGAAUCAUGAAUAUGUGCUGAAGGAUAUUAUGUUUCUCAGUUAUAAAACCAAACAAAUGGACUCCAAUUUUCUGUCUUAAAUUCUUGCCAACCCUACUCUGCUGCUAACUUGUUUAGUUUCCAUCUCUUUUGCUGGCAAAAUCCUCAGUUCUUUGUGAUUAUACAGGCUAAUAUAAGUUGUUUUAUGCUUCCUUUGUGAUAAUAGGUGGAUGUUUUGUGAUGGUAUACUAGUUAGUGUUAAGCAUUGUUAUCAACUUUCUGAGAAUUUUAACUGAUUAAUUAGCAAAAAAUGAAAAACUUUCUUGAGUCUUGUAAUGGGAGGCCACUGUUAACUGAAGGUCUGUAGUAUAGCUUGAAAAAAGAGAGAAUGAGGUAACAGGCAGGAGAGAAUGAGGUAAAUAUCUGUCUUUUAAGACAAAAAUAUAUAAUGUCAAAUAAUAAGAAAUAUAUAAAAAAGUGUAUAAGAAAUAACCUUAUUAAAAAAGGUUCAUGAUAAGAAAAAACUAAUUCUAGAAAAGGUAAUGUCCUAACUUAGUUAUCUUAAAUGACAUUUGAGGUUUUGCCUUUAUAUCCUCACCCUUUCAUCUUGGUUGUUCCUCUUUCUUGUUUUUGUUUCUUCUAUUGACGGAUGCUCUUGCCUUAUUUCUACAUCAUAACAGAAACUGGAAUCCUAAACUCAAGAACAAGAAUGAGGCUGCAUAGGGAUGAAAAGUUUUCAAGGGUGUUGCCUCCCAUCUGCAUGCCUGUGAUUUCUGUGUUCUGCUACUGUCAAAGCAGCAGCCCUUCUUUCAUGCUUAGCUGGCGCUCUAAUGGUUAUUCACAAUCUGCUCUAAACGGGCUAUGAUGAUGCUUAUAGGUCUUUCUAUUUCCGAGAUGAUCAUUGAGCAUUGAGAUGACCUGACCCAUAUCUUGGUGUGGCAACCGGUGUUUUGCAGCCAUGGCAUGGCUGGCUUCUAUUUUGCCUUAUCAUGAUACGCAUCUGAGACUCAAUUUGCUGAAGAACAUAUGUAGGCGUUUGGACGAUAUUUGAGUUGAAGCUGAGAAAUUCUCUUAAAUGCGAACUUGCGCGGUCUCUUUGGUUAUAAGCUCUCAUAUAAGAGAAUUUCCUUUAUCAGGUUAGCCCAGAAAUAGCUAGAAUGAGGCUGCAGUAGAGUAUGGGAUUUCUUUCAAAGGUGGUUGCCCCUCUCUGCUUUGCCUAUGAUUCUCCCCUUCUCAACAAACAAACAGCCCUUAAGAGAAAGAAAGAGAAAUAUGCAUUUCAGUUUCUGGUUUACUGGAUGACCAUUCAUGAGUUUUCCCCAAUAUACAAGUAUACCACAACUACUGCGCCACAUUCAGAUCUUCAGUCUGUCUCCUCUUGGCCCUUUGCGUGUUUCUCCCCGUUUACUCUCAUUGUUAGUGGAAACUGGAAAGUGUUGCAUUAUGAUGCAUUCUGCUACAGAAAGUGGCUAUGAUGAUGUUUAUUUGUCUUUCUAUAUCUGUGCUGAUCAUGGAGCAUUGAGAUGAACUGACCCGUAUCUUGGCGUGGCAACCUGGUAUGGCCUCUGAUUGAAAGCCCCUCUUCUUCUCAUGCAAUUGGUGUUUUGCAGCCAUGGCGAGGCUGGCAUCUCUUUUGCCAUAUCGUUACAUGCAUCUGAGCCUCAAUUUGCUGAAGAUCAUAACUAGGCGUUUGGACAACUUUGAGUUGAAGCUGAGAAAUUCUCUUAAAUGCUGACUUGUGAGGUCUCUUCAGUUAAAAGCUCUCAUAUAAGCGAAUUCACUUUAUUAGGUUAGCCCAGAAAUAGCGAGAAUGAGGCUGCAGAGAGUAUGGGAUUUCUUUCAGGGGUGGUUGCCCCUGUCUGCUUUGCCUAUGAUUCUCCCUUCUCAACAAACCAACAGCCCUUAAGAGAAAGAAAGAUCAACAUGUACUUCAGUUUCUGGUUUUCUGGAUGACCAUUCAUGAAAUUUCCCCAAUAUACAAGUAUACCACAACUGUCAUGCUGGCUUCAGAUCUUCAGUCUGUCUCCUCUUGCUCCUUUGCGUAUCUUCCCAUUUACACUAAUUGUUAGUGGAAACUGGAAAGUGUUCCAUUAUGAUGCAUUCUGCUACAGAAAGGGGCUAUGAUGAUGCUUAUAUCUUUCUAGUUCUGUGCCGAUCAUGAAGCAUUGAGAUGAACCGACCCGUAUAUUGGCGUGGCAACCUGGUAUGGCCUGUGAUUGAAAUCUCCUCUCCGUCUCAUGCAAUCGGUGUUUGCAGCUAUGGCGAGGCUAGCUUCUCUUUUGCCAUAUCAUUACGCAUCUGAGCCUCAAUUUGCUGAAGAACAUAAGUAGGCGUUUGGACAUCAUUUCAGUUACAACAACAUACCCAGUGUAAUCCCACAAGUGGGGUCUGGAAAUGCGGUGAAGGUGGAUCGAACACGCGACCUUCAGAUCUUCAGUGUGACGCUCUCCCAACUGAGCUAUCCCUGGUUAUAACAAUAUUCAAUUGAAGUUGCAAAAGUCUCUCAAGUGCUUUGCCUAUGAUUCUCCAUUUUUUAACAAACCAACAGCCCUUAAAAAAGAAAGAGAAAAAGAGAUAUAGUACUCCCUUUGGUUCAUAAUAAGUGUCCACUUACUCCGUUGUGGCUUUGAAAAUUAUUAAAGAGGCAGUGAUAAUGAUUUUUUUUCUUUCUAUUUCUGGGCUAACUAAUUCUGGCAUGGCAAUGACCUGACCCGUAUCUUGGCCUGGCAAUCCGGUAUGCCCUGUGAUUGAGAAAGCUUCUUUCACAUAUGCAAUCGGUGUUUUGCAGCCAUGGCGUGGUUGGAUUCUCUUUUGCCUCGUCAUUACACAAAUCUGAGCCUCAAUUUGCUCAAGAAAAUAGAAUUGCUGGCCAUAGAGCCACCUCAUCUCUUCUAUGCCUAGCUUUAUUAUAUAUAUAUAUAUAUAUAUAUAGAUUACCUGCAAAGACAAUAGUAUCAUGCAACUCUAGACGGAAAGAAUGAGGCGAUGGAGAGGCAUGGGGAGUCUGUAAUGGUGCUCUCUGUUCGCCGAUGAUUUCCUUUUCCAUUUUCAUAACAAUAAACCACCAAUGUUGAAAAUGGUCAAAUACAUAGAUUGCCCCUUAAACUACUUCUGCUUCUUCACUUCUUUUUGACCUCUUCCUCUUCACUAUGGCUUGCUUUUAAUACGGAUACGAGGCUGUGAUGAGAAAUGGUGUCUAGAGUUGGGUCGAGCAUCGGAGCUGCCCGUAUCUUCUCGGGCGACCCGGAAGGCAUGUCUGUGUUUUUGCAACCGAGGUCUGCAGCCGUGGCUGUUGCUUGUCUCCCUUUGCCCUGGUUUUAUCACAGAUCUGAGCCUCAAAUUGUAUGUAAUUAUGAAUUGGCAAUUCCCUUUGUUAGAUUAGCCCAGGAAUGGUGAGAAUGAGGCAGCAGAGAGAAUAUGGGAUUUCUUUCAAGGGUGGUUGCCCCUCUCUAUGCUUUGCCUAUGAUUCAACAUUUUUUAACAAACCAACAGCCCUUAAAAACGAAAGAGACAGAGAGUACAUUUCAGUUUCUUUGCAUUUUUGCAUCCUUAACGUAUACACAGAACUAUACUACAACAACUACACGACCAUCUGAUCUUUAACUCUGUGUCUCCAUCAUGGCUUUAAAUAUUAUUAAAGAGGCAGUGAUGAUGAUUUUUUAUUUUAUUUCUGGGCUAACUAAUUCGGGCAUGGAGAUUACCCGAACCGUAUCUUGGCGUGGCAACCGGUAUGGCCUGUGAUUGAGACACAUAUCUCACACAUGCAGUCGGAAUUUUGCAGCCAUGGCGUGGCUGGCUUCUCUUUUGCCUUAAUCAUAACACAUAUCUGAGCCUCAAUUUGCUAAAGAAAAUAGGGAGAAAGGUCAAAUUUGUCCUUCUACUUUGCAAAAAGGGGCAGUAUCUUUUCCAUGAUUCAUGUGGGAGAUAUCGAACCCACACCUUUUUGAUUAUCCGUAAUAAUGCUUUUCACUCACAAGGGACUGGCGAGAUUGACGAUGAUGUCACACAUCGUAUUGGAGCGGGAUGGAUGAAAUGGAAGCUUGCAUCGGGGUUGUUGUGCGAUAAGAAGGUGCCGCCUAUUCUAAAGGGAAAGUUCUACAAAGCGGUGGUUAGACCGACUAUGUUGUAUGGGACGGAAUGCUGGCCAGUUAAGAAAGCUCAUGUCUAGAAGAUGAAGGUAGCUGAGAUGGAUGUGCGGGCAUACCAGGAGAGAUAGGAUUCGGAAUGAAGUGAUUCGGGAUAAGGUGGGUGUGGCCCCUGUGGUGGCUAAGAUGCGGGAAGGGAGAUUGAGGUGGUUCGGCCAUGUGCAGCGGAGAUGCGCUGAUGCGCCAGUGAGGAGGUGUGAGAGGAUGGCAGUGGUGGGCCUGAAGAGAGGGAGGGGUAGGCCAAAGAAGGCUUGGGGAGAGGUGAUUUGGCAGGACAUGGCGCUACUUCAGCUUACCGAGGACAUGAUCUGUGAUAGGAGGGGUGAGGUUGAGUAUCAAGGUGGAGGUCUAGUGGGGGGCCACGAGGUUUCCUUUCUUGUAUUAGGAGUAUUUUUACCCUGCUUCUAUGUGUUGGGUCUUGUCUCUCUUUGCUGUUUAUCAUGACUUUCUUGCUCUUGCUAUUUCUCAUUUUCGCAUUGUUUUGAUUUGCUUGUCCGUAUCUGACUCUUUUCCCUUAUUUUCCUAGUUUUCUUUUGAGCCGAGGGUUUUUCGGAAACAGCCUCCCUACCUUCCAAGGUGGGGGUAAGGUCUGCGUACACUUUAUCCUCCCCAGACCCCACAUUGUGGGAUUCAACUGGGUAUGUUGUUGUACUCAUAAUGUAUCGCCAUCUUUGAUAAGUAACAGGUCAAGAAGGAGGCAUUCGAGUGAAAUGUGGGAUAUCUAAGGGGUAAGCCCCUGUUAUUUUUUUAAAGUUUUGCUUUUAUGCUAGCUAGCAUGUUCAUAUUUCUUAGAAUUAUGAAUAAUUGUUGAAGGAUAUUAUGUUUCUCAGUUUACAGUUACCAGUUUCAAAAAAAAUAAAAAAUAAAAAAAAUUAUGUUUCUCAGUUUGAAAACCAAACAUAUGGACUCCAAAUUUCUGCCUUGUAUUCUUGCCAACCCUACUGUAUAAGUUCUUGCUAAUUUCCUUUUUUUUUCAUAGUUCCCGUCAAAUGAUUUGAUAGACAAGAGUCCGCUAAAUAUUUGACGGAGACUCAUAGAAGUGUUUAACUUUUAUCAAACUUGAAGGAGCAAAAUUGUAUAGUGCAUAUUUAAGGCAGUAUUUUGAGAACACCUCACUUUGGUUCUGAACUCGUGUUCUGCAACUUUUGACAGAAAGAUAUGAGUCAAAGGACAGGCGUUGGGGAAUCUGUAAUGGUGGUUGCCCCCUCUCUUGUUCUUGCCAAUUUCCUUUUCCAUUUCACAAUAAAAAAAAAAAAAAGUAACAAUAAACCACCAUUGUUGAAAAUGGUCAGAUACAUAGAUUGCCCCUUAAGCUACUUCUGCUUCUUCACUUCUUUUUGACCUCUUCCUCUUCGCUAUGGCUAGCUUUUAAUCACGGAUACGAGGCUGUGAUGAUAAAUGGUGUCUAGAGUUCGGUCAGGCAUUGGAGCUGCCUGUAUCUUGGCGGUGCGACGCGGAAAGGCAUGUCCGUUGUUUUGCAAUCGAGGUCUGCAGCCAUGGCGGUUGCUUGUCUCCCUUGGCCCUGAUUUUAUCACAGAUCUGAGCCUCAAGAAAAGAAUCGGGCGAGAAGACCAUUCAGAAAAAGCCCCAUUUCCUUUUCGCAAGUAAUUACCUGUGAAUUCCUUUUUGUUAGAUUGGUCCAGAAUGAGGCAGCACAGAGAGUAUGGGAUUUCUUUCAAGGGUGGUUGCCCCUCUCUGUGCUUUGCUUAUGAUUCUCCAUUUUUUAACAAAUCAACAGCCCUUAAAAACGAAGAGACAGAGAGAGUACAUUUCAGUUUCUUUGCAUUUUUGCACCCUUAACGUAUACUCACAACUAUACUACAACAACUACGCGACCUUCGGAUCUUGAAGUGGCAGCGUUGAUGAUUUUUUCUAUUUCUGGGCUAACUAAUUCGGGCAUGGAGAUUACCUGACCCGUAUCUUGGCGUGGCAGCCCGGUAUGGCCUGUGAUUAAGACGCAUAUCUCACACAUGCAAUCGGUGUUUUGCAGCCAUGGCGUGGUUGGCUUCUAUUUUGCCUUUUAUCAUAACACAAAUCUGAGCCUCAAUUUGCUAAAGAAAUAGAAUUGUUGGCCAUAGAGAUGUGCCACUUCACUUCUUCUAUACCUAGCUUUAUUAUAUAUAUAUAUAUAUAUAUAUAUAGAUUACCUGCAAAGACGAAAAGUAUAUGCAACUCUAGACGGAAAGAAUGAGGCUAUGGAGAGGCAUUGGGGAGUCUGUAAUGGUGGUUGCCCCCUCUCUGUUCGCCGGUGAUUUCCUUUUCCAUUUUCAUAACAAUAAACCACCAUUGUUGAAAAUGGUCAAAUACAUAGGUUGCCCCUUAAACUACUUCUGCUUCUGCUUCACUUCUUGUUGACCUCUUCCUCGUGACUAUGGCUUGCUUUUAAUCACGGAUAUGAGGCUGUGAUGAUAAAUGGUGUCUAGAGUUGGGUCGGGCAUCGGAGCUGCCUGUAUCUUGGCGGGGCGACCUGGAAGGCAUAUCCGUGUUUUUGCAACCGAGGUCUGCAGCCAUGGAGGUUGUUUGUCUCCUUUUCCCUGAUUUUAUCACAGAUCUGAGCCUCAAAUUGUAUGUAAUUACUGGCAAUUCCCUUUAUUAUAUAUCCCAGGAAUGGUGAGAAUGAGGCAGCAGAGAGAAUAUGGUAUUUCUUUCAAGGGUGGUUGCCCCUCUCUAGGCUUUGCCUAUGAUUCUCCAUUUUUUAACAAACCAACAGCCCUUACAUAUGAAAGAGACAGAGAGAGUACAUUUCAGUUUCUUUGCAUUUUUGCAUCCUUAAUGUAUACACACAACUAAACUACAACAACUAUGCGACCUUCAGAUCUUCAAGUCUGUCUCCAUCAUGGCUUUGAAAAUUAUCAAAGAGGCAGUGAUAAUGAUUUUUUUUCUAUUUUCUGGGCUAACUAAUUCGGGCAUGGAGAUUACCUGACCCGUAUCCUGGCAUGCCGACCCGGUAUGGCCUGUGAUUGAGAAGUUUCUCUCACACAUGCAAUCGGUGUUUUGCAGCCAUGGCGUUGGCUUCUCUUUUGCCUUAUCAUAACAUACAUCUGAGCCUCAAUUUGCUUAAGAAAUAGGGAAAAGGGUCAGAUUUGGUGCAAAAAGGGGCAAUGUGUUUUCCGUGAUUCAUGUGGGAGAUAUCGAACCCAUGCCUUUUUGAUUACCAGUUAUAAUGCUUUUCACCAUUUUUUGAUAAGUAACAGCUCAAGAAUGAGGCAUUAGAGUGAAAUGUGGGAUUUCUAAGGGGUGAUUGCCUCCCUUCUCCGCCGUGUCGUGGGUGGCUUGUCUUUGCCUGAUGAUAACGUAGAUUUGAGCCUCAAAGCCAAUCAGCUGUGCCUCAUUUCCAAGUCAGUUGGGACUGGCUAUGUAAGUCGUCUGUAUCUAUUCUGCUUAUAUGUAGGUACAUUUAAUUCGAAUAGUAAAUAUCUUGCUCUUAAGACAAAAUUAUUUAAUAUGAAAUAACCAGAAAUAAUCGAAUUAUAUAAAAAAGUAUGUGAUAAGAAAUAAUCUUAUAGAAAAAGUAUAUGAUAUGACAAUUAGUUCUAGAAAAGGUAAUGUACUAAUUUUUUUUGUGCGUGCACAAUUUUGCCGAGGGUACUGAGGCCAAAUGAAUUCCACAUUACUAGGCCCAUUUAUCAACAUCCAAACCACUUUAAUGCCCUACUUGGUUACAAGCCCACGUUACCAGGCUCGGCGGUAAUGUACUUAGAUAUCUUAAAUGACAUUUGAGAUUUUGCUUUUUAUCCUCACCCUUUCAUCUUGUUUGAUCCUCUUCUUGUUUUUGUUUCUUUUGUUGAUGGAUGCUCUGGCCUUAUUUCUGCAUCAUAAACAGAAACUGGAAUCCUAAACUCAAGAACAAGAAUGAGGCUGCAUGGGAGAUGAAAAGUUUCUAAGGGUGUUGCCUCCCAUCUGCAUGCCUGUGAUGCCUGUGUUCUCCUACUGUCAAAGCAGCAGCCCUCUUUCAUGCUUAGCUAGCGCUCUGAUGGUUAUUCACAAUCUGCUCUAAAGGGGCUAUGAUAAUGCUUAUAUAUCUUUCUAUUUCUGGGAUGAUCAUUGAGCAUUGAACUGACCUGACCCGUAUCUUGGCGUGGCAAUCGGUUUUUGCAGCCAUGGCGUGGCUGGCUUCUCUUUUGCCUUAUCAUUAUAUGCAUCUGAGCCUCAAUUUGCUGAAGAACGUAAGUAGGCGUUUGGAUAACAUUUGAGUUGAAGCUGAGAAUUCUCUUAGAUGCAGACUAUUGAGGUCUCUUCGGUUAAAAGCUCUUUCAUAUAAGCAACUUCCCUUUUUUAGGUUAGCCCAGAAAUAGCGAGAAUGAGGCUGCAGAGAGUAUGGGAUUUCUUUCAAGGGUGGUUGCCCUCUCUGCUUUGCCUAUGAUUCUCCAUUUUUUAACCAACCAACAGCCCCUAAAAAAGAAAGAAACAGAAAAAACCUACUUCACUUUCUGAGUUUCGUUGCAUUUUUGCACCCUUAAUGUAUGCUCAAAAACCAAUACACACAACUAUACAACUACUACGCAAUCUUCAGUCUCUUUCUCCGUCAUGGCUUGAUAAUUAUCAAAGAGGCAGUGAUGAUGAUUUUUUCUGUUUCUGGGCUAACUAAUUCGGGCAUGGAGAUUACCUGACCUGUAUCUUGGCGUGGCAACCCGGUAUGGCCUGUGAUUGAGAUGCAUAUCUAACACAUGCAAUCGUGUGUUGCAGCCAUGGCGUGGUUGGCUUCUCUUUUGCCUUAUCAUAAUACAUAUCUGAGCCUCAAUUUGCUAAAGAAAGUAUUGUCUUUUCGAUGCUUGGAUAGGGAAUAUAUCGAACCCACGACCUUUUGAGUACAAGUUAUAUUGCUUUUCCCUCGUAAUGUAUCACCAAUUUUUUGUCUGUAACAGCUCAAGAAUGAGGCAUUGGAGUGAAAUGUGGGUUUUUUCGUAGCGGUGGUUCCCUUUCUUCUCUGGUAAGCAUAUGAUUUCCGUUUUUUUUUUCCCGCUUGCUUUUAUUUCAGUUACCACGAUUGUAUUUCCUCGCAGUUAUGAAGAUGUGCAAUAUAUAAAUGUUUUUCUGUGUGAAAACCAAGCAAAUGAACUUCAACUUUCUGCCUUAAAUUCUUGCCAACUCUGCUCUGCUACUAACUUGAUUGUCUCCAUCUCGUUUGUUGUAAAAUCUGAACUUAUUUGUGAUUGUACAAGCUAAUAGUAGCUCUUGAUUGAGGUUUGAGGAUCAGGGUAUUGUUCACAUGAGUCAGUGGAAAAUUCGCUAUAUUAUCUCCAUGUAAGCUACUUUUGUUGGAUUAAGGCCAGAUGUGGAAAUAAUGAGGUACCAGAGAUUAAGGGAUUUCUUUCAAGGGCGGUUGCCCCUCUCUGUUUUGUCUAUGAUUCUUCCUUUUCAACAAACCAACACCCUCAAAGAUUUAGCUAGAAAGAAAGACCACACUUCAGUUUCUGGUUUCUUUGCUUUUUUGCACCCUUAAAGCCUGUUUGGAAAGACAUCUUGUAAUUGGAUUUGGGUGUAAAUGCGGGGGAGCAAUUACGCUCAAAACCUAAAAGCACAACUUUUCUACAAAUACGUGACCUUCAGAUCUUCAGUCUGUCAGAUCGUCAUGGCUUUGAGAACUAUUUAAAGAGGCAGUGAUGAUGAUGUUUUGUAUAUCUGGGCUAACUAAUUAGGGCAUGGAGACUAUCCUGCCCGUAUCUUGGCGUGGCAACUCGGUAUGGCUUGUGAUUGAGACUCCUCCUUCACAUGCAAUCGGUGUUUUGCAGCCAUGGCAUGGUUGGCUUCUCUUUCGCCUUAUCAUAAUGCCAGGUCUGAGCCUCAAUUUUUUAAAGAAAACAUUUCCUUAAUUGGAUGUGAGAGAUUCCGAACCCACACCCUUUUGAUUGCAAGUAUAAUGCUUUUCACUCAUAAUAUAUCGCCACUUUUUUUUUUUUAUCAGCAAUAGCUCAAGAAUAUAGAGUCAAAUGUGUGAUUUUUGUAACGGUGGUUGCCCUCCUCCGGUGAGCCAUGAGUUUGCUUUUCCUUUCCUUUCCUUUUUUUUUCGGGCUGUUAUGCCAGCUUCUGUGUUCAUUUCCCCCACAAUUAUGAAUACGUGCUAAAGGAUAUAUUGUUUCUGUGUAAAACCCAAACAAAUGGACUCCAAUUUUCUGCCUGAAAUUCUUGUCAACCCUACUCUGCCCACUAACUUGUUUAUCUCCAUCUCUUCCUGUAGUAACUCCUCACUUCUCUGUGAUUAUACAAUUAUAAGCUUCCCUUAUUUAUGGAAAGAGUUUAACUACUAUAAACUGAUAGUUCCUCCUAAUACUAAUCUACAUGUCUGCCUUUCCUCUUGUGUGUUGUUUUUUGGGUGAUAGGAUGGUAUAUAACUCAUAUGCUGGCUUGGCAAAUAACUGGAUUAGCCAGUGAUUUCAGUUGUUCUCUUUCACAUGCAACUCGUGUUUUUGCAGCCAUGGUACCUUCUCAUUGCCUGAUCUUUUCUGCAGAUCUGAGCCUCACAAUUCUUUGGCACCUGCAAUUUUUUAUCCAAAGCACACAUAUUGCGCCAAACUUUUUGCUUAAUCUUCAGUAUUCAAAUAAAAGAAUGAGGAAAGAUAAGGAAGUAUGAGAAUUCUUCUUAAGAUAGGUUGUUCUUAGUUUUUAGCUUUCCUCUUCCAUGCGAUAAUUAGCUUGAAGUUGGAAGAAUCAUGGCUGAAUGGUACUGUCUAUUACUUUAUUUUUUUCCUAUGGCUUUGAUUCCCUUUGUGCAUAUCUUCUAUUUUCUUGUUCUUUGUUGCCUUGGCUUUUAGAUUGUUCCUUAGAAGCGGUAGAAGAUGUUUAAACAGCAUUUGCUGGAGUACAUGUAAAAGGGGAUGUGAUGAUACUUCUAGUACCUUCUAAUUAAUGAGCAUGACGACCAGACCUGUAUCUUGGCUUGGCAACUCAGUGUGGCCUGUGUUAAGGGUUAUGAUCGAGAAUGCGAGCUUCAGGUUACCGAGAAGAAAAAAGGAUUUUGCACUCCUAAAGUUUCACCAUGCUUGUUGAACUUGUUCCUGCGUGGCUGUGUUUUCAACAAGCAUCGAUCUGAAACCUAGGCAUUGAAGCUCCUCUCAUAACUUACCAGAUAAUUGAAGCUCCCAUUUCUUACUGGUGAUAUUCAUGAAAAAUAUGUAAUUGAUCUCACCUUUCUUUAGCUGUUUCACCUUGAUUUUCAGAAAUAGGCAUGACCUGCUAGCUUUGGAUGUCAAAAUUCAUCUUUUAUCAUGUAUCUCCUAGUUUACUAUUUAUAACUAAAUAGUGGCUACUGUCUUUAUUCA